AAGGAUCAUUACAGAGUAAACUUGGUGGGUUGUUGCUGGCUCUCAUCUGAGUAUGUGCACGCCUGUCAUUUUUAUCUUUCCACCAUGUGCACCCUAUGUAGGUCUUGAAAAGACAAUAAGCCUAACCCUUAUGGGUUACUUGGGAUGUUGCUGUUCUUUUGAACAGCUCUGGCUGUCUUCUCGGAUUCUAUGAUCUAUAUAUACACCUAUGUAUGUCCAAGAACGCUAUUAAUGGGCCCCUAAAGCCUAUAAAUCUAUAAUACAACUUUCAGCAACGGAUCUCUUGGCUCUC
rnacentral:misc_RNA from 1 species